CCCCUGUGCCUUGGGCAGCCUGGCCCCUUGCUGAGGCGUGCUUGCGCGUGUCCGUUGUCGCCCUCACCCAGCUGCUGCGGCGGAGAGACGGAGGCCAGCGCGGGGAGCGGAAGCCGGAGCCUGUCGGGAGCGACCCCGGGAAGGCCAGUCCCUCCUGCCGGUGGGAGGCGUGUUGGCGUGCGGCCGGUGGCGGGAUCGAUGGCCACCUGGUAGGCGAUGCUGCUGCGGCGGAGAGACGGAGGCCAGCGCGGGGAGCGGAAGCCGGAGCCUGUCGGGAGCGACCCCGGGAAGGCCAGUCCCUCCUGCCGGUGGGAGGCGUGUUGGCGUGCGGCCGGUGGCGGGAUCGAUGGCCACCUGGUAGGCGAUGAGUCCUUGGUGGUCAUCGAGAACCCUGGAGCCCCUGCGGCAUUUCCCAGAGACGUGGAGGCGGUGGGGCGCCAGGUGGCCCUGGGCGGUGCCGAGUCGGCCGCGGACUGGGGUCGAGAGAAGUGCAGGAGGGCCAGAGGUCCUGGGCCAGUGUGCGCAGAGCACCGUGAGGGGGAGUGUUGGGUGCCCGGGGCGGCAGUGCCUUCAGGGCGGCCUGGGCUAUGAUGUGGGAUAUCCUCAGAGAUUUGGGCGGCGCGUGGAAGGCAGGACGGAGGGGUCCCGGGCACGUGAAUGGGAGCUGGGUGCCUGUGCCCUGGCCGGUCAUGGGUGCCGGCGGGGCAUAGAAGUGUGAGCCCGCGGCCAGCUCCCGGGGCCGCUAAGGUGUCCACACACGGGGCUGGGCAUUGAGGCCGUGCGGCGCCCCUGCCCUGGCUGAGGCCGUGUUCCCGGGGAGGGAGGACAGGGAGUUGCGCAGUGGGAGGCAGUGUGAGGUUGAUACCCAGCAGAGCUAGCCACGCCUGCGGACUGGAGCCCAGCCGAGCUGGUGCCGGGCGGGAGCUGGUGGCAAGGAGGGAGUCUGCUGUGGAGGAAAGGGGGCAGGUGGCGGCGGAAGGGGCGUGAGUUUCGGUGCGAGGGUCCCGCUGGGCCCAGGGUCUAGUGCGUCUCCCGUGGAGAUGCUGGUGCUGGAGUAGGGAGGCCUGGGUGUGCAUGGGUGUGGCACGCAAAGGAGAGGGUCCAUGGGCCCGGCGGGCCUUCCGGUGCUGGCGGCGGGGCUGUGGCGUGUGCCUUGCGUGGGGCCCGAGCGCCCAACUGGUGGCAGGCUCCGGGCGCCCGGCGGCAGGCGG
rnacentral:lncRNA from 1 species